UACGAAGGGGGCUAGCGUUGCUCGGAAUCACUGGGCGUAAAGGGUGCGUAGGCGGGUCUUUUAAGUCAGGGGUGAAAUCCUGGAGCUCAACUCCAGAACUGCCUUUGAUACUGAAGAUCUUGAGUCCGGGAGAGGGAUGCGGAAUUCCAGGUGUAGCGGUGAAAUGGCGUAGAUAUCUGGAGGAACACCGGUGGCGAAGGCGGCAUCCUGGACCGGCAUUGACGCUGAGGCGCGACAGCGUGGGGAGCAAACAGG
rnacentral:rRNA from 1 species